UAAUUACUCCGGUGUCCUUAAAUCCUUGAGA
rnacentral:piRNA from 1 species